rnacentral:tRNA from 1 species
GAGGUUGUAGCUCAGUUGGUUAGAGCGUCGGAUUGUGGUUCCGAAGGCCGUGGGUUCGAACCCCAUCUUCCUCCCUA